AUACUUACCUGGCUGUGGUAAUUCCAUGAUCAAGAAUGUGGUUUCCCCAGGGUUAGGCUCACCCAUUGUGCUCUGGGCGUAUUGACCUCUGCGAUUUCCACAAACAUGGGAAACUUGACUGUGUAAUUUAUGGUAGUGGGGGACUUUUUUAAAAUUUUAAAUUCUUA